CCAAGCCUAGAGUCCUUAAAAAUCCCCAUUCCAUGAUUCAUAAACUUUUAUGUGCCAUAUUCUUCUCUGCCUCUGGUUUUCUUCAAGCAAAAACGGGUCAUUCUCACUCUUGUUCUUGGCAAAGCUUACUAUAGGGUAUAGACUUGCUUCAGCGUGGUUUGAUUUGAAAAAUCGAAAAUGACUACUUUGUGCAAGCCCUCAAAGACUACUGGAUUCCUAAUGCUAGAUACAUUUAGUAUAUUGCCCACUCACCAUCCCAUUUUGUCAUGGUCUCCUACUUUAUCACUAAAUCCGAUACCUGUGACACACACAAGCUUAAUGAUUUUCCCCCCUGAGAUAGUCCAGGCCAUUCUUACCAUCCCUCUUCCUCACUCCCCUAAGGCAGACUGCCUUGUUUGGGGACAUACACCCUCGAGAGUUUUAACUGUUUAGUCAACCUAUCAUCUAGCUUCCUCCUCUGAAUUCCUUUGGCUUCCCCCUCUAAUAUUGCUAAUACUAAUUAGUGGUGGUCUAACCUUUGGCGUUUGAAAAUCCCUCCAAAGAUUAAGCAUUUUAUCUAGAGAGCUUACCAUCAUUCCUUGCCUUCUGCUUCUAACCUAUUAAAAAAGAAAGCAAUUCAGUCUCCAGCCUACUCAUUUUGCUCAUCUAAUUAUGAGACGGUUUCACAUGCCCUGCUUCAUUGUUCCAGAGCUCAAAAGUUGGGCAAUUUGGAACAACAGAAAUACUAUGUUAUUCUGGAAACCGACCAUAAAUCCUAGACAGGUUGCAGAUUGGUCUUAUUCUUUGUUGACAAAUCAUAAAGAUGCUUUGGCCAACAAACUUCAGCUACUAAACUGCCCAGAGCUCAGGCUGCUUGAAAGCAACCACAGAGAAUUUAAGCUCAAUGUUAGUGCAACCAUAGACAAAGCUAGAAAUAAAAUUGGUCUUGGGGUUGUCGUUCGAGACUGCAGGGUUCUAUUAUUGCUAGCCUCAUGAUACCAUUGGUGGGAAACUAUAACUCAUUGGUCAUGGGAGCCCAAGCUCAUCAUAAUAGCAUCUUUUGGUGUCAAAAUAUAAAGCUUCCUAUUUCCCAAACUGAAUCAGAUUCUUUGAUUGUGGUUAAUAGAGUCAAUUCUUCUUGGUCUUAUUUAUCAUCUUAUGUGUAUGAUUUAGUUCAUGAUAUCAUAAUUUCAUUUCCGUCCUUCCCUAAAA